AGAACUUGCAACUGGGUACAAUGGCCAUCACUGUCACACCUCAACUAAACGGAUUGAUUGUUGGAAAAUGAAUUUCUCCUCGUCAACUGAACUUUCGAAGGCGGAUGGCACGAGUUCGGAGACACGCACAGUUCUAGCCAUGCAAAAAGAGAGGAAUGUUUUCUGGGACACAAUACACAAUUAUGUUCUUUUUUCCUCGUCCUCUGCCAGUCCAGUCCAUACACUAUAACCCCGUGGAACCUAGGGCUAUGGGAGAGCAGCUGAAUGUCCAAAAGAAAUGCCAGCUCCAAGUGAUGUUCCUCAGCACCUGCACCAUGGAGCAGGAUCACCACCCGGCCAAACACAGCCUAAACUCAAGGGUUAGCUGCAAAAGAGCUACGUACUUGGGUAUGCAAAGGCAACACUAUUGAAGUCGUCGGUGCAGUCGUAACCUGAUCCACUGCACGACUGUCCAAGGAAGACGGUUCCCUGGACUGAAGCGACCAAAGUGGCCAUGGCCGAAACGAGAUGGAGAAGUUGCAUACUGAAUGGAGGGCCUGAAAAGGGAGUCGACUAGAGGUAGUGUUGGAGGAAGGUCUUGAGGGAGGAAGGCUAAUGGAUCAGGCAAGGGAGAAAGAAGUUGUUGGCAAGUUGCAGGAAUGAGGGCGCUUUAUA